AGAAGAAAAAAUGGAGAGAGAGAAAAAGGAAAAUUGGAAUUAAUGACACAGUUACGUCUUUUGUUUGGCUUCUUUAAUAAUUUCAAUAUAUAUUGAUAUAAAAAGUUAUGUUAGAUUCAAAUUUUCAAAUUUUCUUAUAAAUAAAUAACGCGUUUUUUGUAUUUUACAGAUAAGUUUUUAUUACAAAAGAAAAUAUUUCCUUCAGAAUUCAUUUGAUGUAGAAUUUACAAAAAUUGCAGAAAAGGCCAUUUAGUAAGGAGUUCGGACCCCAACCCGGACACGACCCUAUUAAAACGAUCAAGGAGGUCAUAUGACAAAGCCAGUAGACCUAAACCUAGAACUAUAAGGCAGACUUCAAUAAUUAUAACAAUGAUAAAGCUAAAGAAGA